AAGCUUAGAGUAUUUUCGGGGGGGGGGGGAAUUUCCCGCGUUAGCCAGUGAAAAUGCGUAGAUAUGGGGAGGAACCCCCAAUGGCGAAGGGCAGCCCCCCUGGGAUAUUACUGACGUUCAGGCCACGAAAGCGUGGGUAGCAAACAGGAUUAGAUACCCUGGUAGUCCACGCCCUAAACGAUGUCAACUAGCUGUUGGGCCGGUUACGGCUUAGUAGCGCAGCUAACGCGUGAAGUUGACCGCCUGGGGACUACGGUCGCAAGACUAAAACUCAAAGGAAUUGACGGGGACCCGCACAAGCGGUGGAUGAUGUGGAUUAAUUCGAUGCAACGCGAAAAACCUUACCUACCCUUGACAUGCCCGGAAGCUUCAAGAGAUUGAAGUGUGCUCGCAAGAGAACCGGAGCACAGGUGCUGCAUGGCUGUCGUCAGCUCGUGUCGUGAGAUGUUGGGUUAAGUCCCGCAACGAGCGCAACCCUUGUCAUUAGUUGUUACGCAAGAGCACUCUAAUGAGACUGCCGGUGACAAACCGGAGGAAGGUGGGGAUGACGUCAAGUCCUCAUGGCCCUUAUGGGUAGGGCUUCACACGUCAUACAAUGGUCAGGACAGCGGGUUGCCAAACCGCGAGGUGGAGCUAAUCUCAAAAACCUGAUCGUAGUCCGGAUUGCAGGCUGCAACUCGCCUGCAUGAAGUCGGAAUCGCUAGUAAUCGCAGAUCAGAAUGCUGCGGUGAAUACGUUCCCGGGCCUUGUACUCACCGCCCGUCA
rnacentral:rRNA from 1 species